UUUUAUGGAGAGUUUGAUCCUGGCUCAGAGUGAACGCUGGCGGCGUGCCUAAUACAUGCAAGUCGAACGAUGAAGCUUCUAGCUUGCUAGAAUGCUGAUUAGUGGCGCACGGGUGAGUAACGCAUAGGU
rnacentral:rRNA from 1 species